rnacentral:rRNA from 1 species
CCGGCCUGAGAGGGCGACCGGCCACACUGGGACUGAGACACGGCCCAGACUCCUACGGGAGGCAGCAGUGGGGAAUAUUGCGCAAUGGGCGAAAGCCUGACGCAGCAACGCCGCGUGCGGGAUGAAGGCCUUCGGGUUGUAAACCGCUUUCAGCAGGGAAGAAGCCGCAAGGUGACGGUACCUGCAGAAGAAGCACCGGCUAACUACGUGCCAGCAGCCGCGGUAAUACGUAGGGUGCAAGCGUUGUCCGGAUUUAUUGGGCGUAAAGAGCUCGUAGGCGGUCUGUUACGUCGGUUGUGAAAACUCGGGGCUUAACCCCGAGCCUGCAUCCGAUACGGGCAGACUUGAGUGUGGUAGG